rnacentral:rRNA from 1 species
UACGUAGGGUGCGAGCGUUGUCCGGAAUUACUGGGCGUAAAGAGCUCGUAGGUGGUUUGUCGCGUUGUUCGUGAAAACUCACAGCUUAACUGUGGGCGUGCGGGCGAUACGGGCAGACUAGAGUGCGGUAGGGGAGACUGGAAUUCCUGGUGUAGCGGUGAAAUGCGCAGAUAUCAGGAGGAACACCGGUGGCGAAGGCGGGUCUCUGGGCCGUAAC